rnacentral:rRNA from 1 species
UGGGGAAUUUUGGACAAUGGGCGAAAGCCUGAUCCAGCAAUGCCGCGUGAGUGAAGAAGGCCUUCGGGUUGUAAAGCUCUUUUGUCAGGGAAGAAACGGUGAAAGCUAAUAUCUUUUGCUAAUGACGGUACCUGAAGAAUAAGCACCGGCUAACUACGUGCCAGCAGCCGCGGUAAUACGUAGGGUGCAAGCGUUAAUCGGAAUUACUGGGCGUAAAGCGUGCGCAGGCGGUUUUGUAAGUCUGAUGUGAAAUCCCCGGGCUCAACCUGGGAAUUGCAUUGGAGACUGCAAGGCUAGAAUCUGGCAGAGGGGGGUAGAAUUCCACGUGUAGCAGUGAAAUGCGUAGAUAUGUGGAGGAACACCGAUGGCGAAGGCAGCCCCCUGGGUCAAGAUUGACGCUCAUGCACGAAAGCGUGGGGAGCAAACAGGAUUAGAUACCCUGGUAGUCCACGCCCUAAACGAUGUCUACUAGUUGUCGGGUCUUAAUUGACUUGGUAACGCAGCUAACGCGUGAAGUAGACCGCCU